rfam:Myotis davidii contig64789, whole genome shotgun sequence.
UGGAUUACUCUUCAGUAACAAGGAUUCUAUCCAAAGCUUAAAAUGUCUUUUGACUUUAUAUUUGAAAAUGUGCAUGCGUGUGCAUUCAUGAAGGACAGAGAAAUGAUAAAUGUUCUCAUUUGAGUUAAAACCAAACAGUGCAGGCAGCUGCUGUGAGUUUUGUUAUUAUAAUUUUGUCCUGACAUAUGAGUUGGAAAAU